CGGUUGAGGUCUAAAAUAAUUUUUAAUUUUGGCCACAGAAUAAAAGCUCUUACUGUUUCUGCCAAUGAGGGAUUUUUGAGGUCUUCUCUUCAACAGGGUGUAACAUAUGCAGCAUUUAUUCAUGAAUCAAGAGCUCUUACCGAAGGCAAGGAGAGUACUGCCAAAAAAAUUGAAUUAUGAUAUGCCCCAAUUCAAUUAAUCUCAAUAUACACAAGUAUACAUGAAAGUACUUAAUUGUAAAAUCAUGAUAUUUUUAUUUCUCAAUGUAUAUGACCUGUAAUUUAUUUCUUAGGAUUAUUUAUAAUUAUUCAUAUUUAUUGGCUUUUAUUAUGUGGAAAUUUUACUUAUUUGUAUUCAGCAUAAUGUUAUUUUUUUUUUAUAUAUGGGUGACUGACUUGAUUCAGGUUUCAGUGUGCUUUAGCAAUUUUAAACUAAUAAAAAAAUUGUCAUGCUAUUUUACAUACAAAUGUUAAAAUUUUAUUCUUAAUGUGAUACAUCGCUUUAUUAUUUAGCAUAAAAUAGGGAGUUAUGUAAUGGAUGCAAUAAAUGUAAUUAAACCUAAUUGCUUAGUUACUAGACGAGUGCUCUCAUCACUAUCGGUUUUUCGGGCAAUCCCAGCGCUGGUCGCCACAUUCAUUUUGACCUGCAUCAUGGUGAAAAAAAUAGUAUAGAGUGAAUUCGUUAUGUGAUGUUUCAAAAUAUAUGCAAAGAGAAGAACAAAGAAUCAAUGAACCAAUAGGAAAGUUUUUGUUCAACAAGAUUAAAUACUUUCAUUAUAAGACUGCAUCUUUGAACUAUCAGGGGAAAAUUAAUUUAUGAUUUGUGUCACUUCAGGCAUCAGCGUGAAAGUCUAUUUCAUACCACUUCGUUAUUUUUGAGUGCAUCUGUGCAACAACCGCUCGCCUAUCGUACAGCGUGGUAGUUUUGUAAUGAAAUAGGCAUGCAGAUUUUAUUUUUUAUAAAUGUUAGCAAACCACGACUUGAAUUAACUGUGGCUGUGUGCUCCACGUCCUCAAAUGUGAUAAACGAAUAAAUAAAUAUAUUAUGUGUUU